GGUUGUGGAUCAGUGGUAGAGUGCUCGCCUAGCAUGCAUGAGUCCCUGGGUUCAAUCCUCAGCACCA
rnacentral:tRNA from 1 species